GUGUGUCUCUCUCUGUCUCUCUCUGUGUCUGUCUCUCUCUUUGUGUCUUUCUCUCUGUGUGUGUAUGUGUGUCUCUGUCUCUCUCUUUCUGUGUGUGUCUCUCUCUGUGUCUCUUUCUGUCUCUCUCUGUCUCUCUCUCUGUCUCUCUGUCUCUCUUCUUGGGAGUGCUGCUUUCUUGUAUGUUUGAACUCUUGUCUCCAGGUAGCUUUUCAAUUAUUUGGAAAACGUUUAGUUUAAUGGCAACUGUGGAAAGGCCAGACUCCUGCACAAACCAUGGAAAAGAUCUCCCAGGGCGGGCGGGUUCUUGGUUAAAAAAAAAAAAAAGUAUCCGUGUGUAUAAAUGUAUGGUACUCCAUACGGAAGAAGUCCUGAGAAGUUGUGUGAUGAAAUUUCACUUGCAUGAUAAAGCUAAGGAAACUGCACAAGGAAAGCCCCGUAGAGCAGCGGAGUGUGGAAUGCGCUCAGGUGGAAGCUGCCUGAUUAUCAGGACGUCUUACUCCAGGGGGAUGCUCAAGAUGGACUCCUUGUGCCUUGCAAGACUCUGCUCUUUUUAACAUUGUAAAAUAACACCUGCUCACUAAGGAAACUUUUUAAACACAGAGAAACAGUGAAACAAAUUUACCCACAGUCAUCAGCUCUCCUUGUUCAAUUGGCUUUUUUUCCCUGUGCUCCUCUUUCUUGCCGUGCUCCUCUUUUUUGCUGUGUUCCUGUUUUUCGCUGGGUUUGCCAGAACCUCAAACAAGCACCCAGCCUUCUUGUGUAUUUUUUCCCAAAAUAUUACUAUUCAAAUGACCUUUUUUUUUACUUAGUUGGGGCGGGGUAUUCGUUAUGUUGCUGUUGAGACAAGGUCUCACUGUGUAACCCUGGCUGGCUGGCACUUGCUGUAUCAGGCUUAAACCGUGCUCCUCUUUCUUGCCAUGCUC
ensembl:lincRNA D630029K05Rik RIKEN cDNA D630029K05 gene